CACAGCACUCAGAAGCUCUCUAACACAGAUACUACUUUCUGCCUUGGCAAUAUUCCACAUUUUUGGGAAACACUUCCCCCGUGAGAAGAGCACAUGCCACACGUGUAUGAAAAUUCAUCUGCCAACUAAUUAAAAUAAAAUAGACAUUCAUAGUUAUGAAAUGUCUAACUUGGGGCCUGGGGAGCUGGUGCCCUGGCUGUUUCCACUUGCUCAGCGUGUGCAAGCAAUGGUCUGAUUUCCGUCAUUAAAAAUCUUCCCUCAGAAGCUCCUGAGAAAUACUGAUGAAGGCAGAUGGUGGUGCCCUACAACGGUGUCAACCGACUUGAAAGGGGAAUAAGCCACCGCCACUUGAGAGCAGAUGCAAAACACGACUUUCCAGCAUCCUCUCAUACAAGAAACACAGAGCUAAAAUACUGAAGGACUGGAAACCAAACCUUUGGGCAAAAUUUCAGUGCCCUGCAGUCAUUUGACAGUGUAGAAGGGUGGGGACAGUUUUGCUUCCUGUCUGCCACAAAUGACUGGCAAGGAAUCCACUCAGUGACACAAAGAAAUGCCCUUUAUCUCUGAGGAUGGAAGGAAGGAGAGGAAGAAAGAUCUUCCCAACGCAAGAUGCCCCACGGGUAUCAUUCAAGAUCUGGAAGCCAUGAAAGAGAAGAGCAGGCGUGGUGUGGGGCCAGGAACAGAGGUAGCCUCUGUGAAGAGAGGACUGGACCAGAUAUGCUGAGAGCCUCACCUCCUCUUAUGCACCCUCACCCUGGACAAUGAGCUGAGGAAGACAGGGCCCCUCUGUGGUGCAGACUAUCUAGCCAGCAUCCCAUGGUUGGCUGAUGCUUAUGUUGUAACUGGCUCAAACUCUAUGACAAAAUUUUACAGUUUUGUUACACACUAAGUUUGGUUACAGUUUGUUAUGCGGGAACUCAGAGUUCAGGGGCCACUUCGGGCCAAAUUCAAGUUAACAGAAUACAAAAGAGAUGGACUUAUAAAAGCAAGCCUGUACCCUAGUUUUCUAACCAUCAGGUCAAAGCUCCUCCAACAUACCUAAUGCUCUGCCUGUAGCCUCCUUGGCCAAAGACUGGGAAGUUUACGUAGUGCUCAGAUCUAUAGUUGGGGAAAGGGCAGGAAAGCGAGGCUCUGGAUUUAUGCCACCAGGGAGAUUACCCAUCACUGGUGUAAGGGAUGAAAAGAGACUCUGCACUAUGGAGAUCCUAACCUUCUCACUGUGACAACCUGGCACACGCACAGUUCUGGCUUACCCACAGUUCUAGCUCUAAUAACCUCUGAUUUGUCACCUAGCUUAGGCCUCAAUGUAGUUUCCAGUAAUCUGGGGUUCUCAUUCAGCACACACUCACUUCCGCCACCACCCCUGCCUACUUCUAAGUGCUCAAUCCCAUCUGGCUACGCUGCAGAUGCUACUGAUCUAAAAUAUGACAUGGCACCCAUGAGAGGAGCUAGCCAGCACCUCCAAACCUAAGUGUGGGUCAGAGGACUAGCACCUGGGGUACAAAAUCAAGC
rnacentral:lncRNA from 1 species